rnacentral:rRNA from 1 species
AUUGAACGCUGGCGGCAGGCCUAACACAUGCAAGUCGAACGAGUGGCGGACGGGUGAGUAAUGUCUGGGAAACUGCCUGCUGGAGGGGGAUAACUACUGGAAACGGUAGCUAAUACCGCAUACCAUCGGAUGUGCCCAGCUGGGAUUAGCUAGUAGGUGGGGUAAAGGCUCACCUAGGCGACGAUCCCUAGCUGGUCUGAGAGGAUGACAAGACACACUGGAACUGAGACACGGGCCAGACGCCUACGGGAGGCAGCAGGGGUGAAUAUUGCACAAUGGGCGCAAGCCGGAUGCAGCCAUGCCGCGUGUAUGAAGAAGGCCUUCGGGUUGUAAAGUACUUUCAGCGGGGAGGCGUUACCCGCAGAAGAAGCACCGGCUAACUCCGUGCCAGCCGCCGCGGUAAUUC